rnacentral:lncRNA from 1 species
UCAGAUGCAUUCCUUACGCCUACUCAGCCAGAAUCAGCCAUCUCAGAUCUUUCUGAGCAUGAGUGACAACUUCAGGCCUGUGCAGCCACUCAACAACCGCUGCAUCCGCACCAAUAUCAACUUCAGUUUACAGGGGAAGGACUGUCCGAACAACCGAGCCCAGAAGCUUCAGUAUAGAGGUGGGUACGGUGGCUCAGACAGCAGAGGAGGACCCAGGCCAGAGCCCCAUGUCCCUCUUAGACCUGUUCUUAAAAGCCUGACACUGUCUCCCAGUACAGAAAUCAUGACUAUGGAUGACAAGGGCACCCUCCCCCCAACAUUUGCAUGAUGAUUUUCUUUUUGGAAAGCCUAUGUAUUGUGACUAAAUGGUGAUAAAUGUUUGAUAUAUAAGAUGCAUAUCUACAGGUGUAUUUAAGUUUGAUGUCACAUGUAUCAAACCUUUAUACCCCUCUGGUUCAGGCUAGACAGUCCUUUUUAUUGCCAUUUUAAACAAGAACCCAGAAAGGCUGAUUUCCCCAAGGUUAUAUGUUAGAACAGGAUAAUAAGAAGCAGUAGGGCCUUUGGUUAUGUGUCCCUCAAAGUUGAGCAAUGCUCUGGAUGCCAGGCCAUCCGGUCCAAUGAGGUAACAUGUGUGAACAUAUCUUUGUCCAAUACUCUGACCCUAGAAUGGUUAUGAUUCCUACUGCAGGGUACGUUUAAGAUGACUUCUGCCUCCUGAAACCCGGGCCCACCCUCAGCCCUCUCUCCUUCCUUCUGCACAUGGACUGAAUAUCUGGUGGUCAUUUUGCAGACUCUCAGUGUGGAAAGGGAGGUGGAGGUGCAAUAAUGUCUUAGAUAGGCCCUGGACCUGAGGGCCAGGCCUUGUUCUAACAAGCUACAAAUACCCAACCAGCUCAUUUACCCCUCUAGACCAGGAUUCUUUCUGACAGUCCCUAUCCCCAUUUACUUCCUUGCCUGCUGUGAGGGACAAACAAGAGCCUGGGUGGGGAGGCCUUUUGUAGCAAUAGCACACUCUCCAAAUACAGGCCUGUGGUUCUCACCAGGCAGGUCUCCCCACGUGCCCUUCCUUCUCUCUUCUUUCAGACACACUGACACACUGCCUAAACCAUAGAUUUGUCUGCUCCCUUCAAGCCAGAACUGCUAGACAAAUAAAUGCCCAACUCAUUCACUGCCCCUCCCCUCUAUUCAGCAUCUAUUCAUGGUGUGCCUACUAUGUGCCAGACACUUAGGUAGACGAUGGCAACACAGCAGUGGUGAAGACAGGUGUGACCCUAACCCUACAGAGCUAUCGUCUACACCAGAAAUUAGCACACUUUUUCCGUAAAGGGGCAGUGAGCAGAUAUUUUAAGCUUUGUGGGUCACACAGUCUCUGCCUCACUCUAAUGUAGUGUGACAUCAACCACAGACAAGAACCAGAUGCAGGGGUGUGGAUUACCAUAAAUGAAGCUUCACUUACAAUAAACAAUACAAUAUUUCAAUAAAACCUGAUUCACAAAAACAGGUCCUGGUCUGAAGUUUGCCCAUCCCUGGUCAAGACCAGUGCCGUUCUCUAGAACUUUCUGCAAUGAUGGAAAUGAUCUAUUCCAUACAAGGCUGUCGAACAGUUGAUAUGUGGCUAGUAACUAAACUUUGCAUUUUAACUCAUUUGGAUUUCAGUGGCCACAGCUAGCGGCCACCAGAUUGAACAGCACGUGUCUAGAGGGUCGUGGGGAAGGGAGUAGCUGGGAUACUAAUACGUAAGCUGGCAUUUACAAAAUAGCCCCUUCCCCUUUGGAGUCAGGCCCCGUUAAUGUGCAAAUUAAUUCAGUUACGCCUUGUUUUGUGUUGUGUAUGUGUGUGUGUAUGUGUGUGGUUUGUUUCUUUCUCUCUCUCUCUUUUCAGUAAACGAAUGGCUUCUCAAGUAGGGAACUAAGCCAAGAAGAAUCCCACCUCAGUGAAACGCUACGACUGUGAAUUGGCGUAACCCAGAAUGUCCCCCUUCUUUCUUCCUUCCCCCAAGCCUCAUUCACUCUUUGGAUUGGCCCCUUCUUCAUGAAUAUGGUCUGCAAAAAACAUGGCAGAGGAAAGCAUCUCUUACACACACCCCUACACGCACACACACACACAAGUGCUCACACACACACACACACAUAUAAUGAGUAAUGAGGAGACAUUUUCAGAAACAAAAGCCUCCUUCCUAAGAGGUUUAGAAGAAAAUAACCAGUUAACCCGAUUACAAUUUUGAUACCAUUUUCCUGAAUUGAUACAUCUACCCGACGAGACUUUUCAGCCUUUGUACAUACAAGAUUCUUCCAGAAGAGACAGAGAGGAGAAAACAGUUCUGAACACAUCAACCAAACAUUGCUUCCAGUCCUCUCCAACAGUGUCCUAGGAUCCUCUGAGGAUGCUGGUGACAGUGAACCAGGACAAAGCUGAGCAAGGACACUUUAUUUCUAGAUAACGAUUCUUCUGUUUACUCAACGAUUUAAAAAAAAAGAAAUUUAAAAAAGGACAGACACUGAAGAGCUACACACUGUAUAUAUAUAUAUAUAUCACUGC